CGGUUGGGGAAGAGGUGUGGACACAUGGUCACGUGACACAUGGACAUGCUACACACGGUCACGUGACACACGGACAUGCUACACACGGUCACAUGACACACGGACACGCAACAUAAAGCAACAGGUGAGAACACGUGUGACAGGAGGACACGUGACAGCGACACGUAACGGGGACACGUGACACGGAUGGAACACGUGGUCAUGUGACACUGACAUGUAACGGGGACACGUAACAUACAGAUGGAACACGUGUUCAUGUGACAAUGACAUGCAAUAGGGACACGUGACGCAUGGCUGUAACACGUGGUCAUGUCACACUGACACGUAUGAAGGACAUGUGGACAUGUGACACACACGCAUGACACGACGACAUGGGAACACGUAAUGCAGUGACGUGUAGACAUGUGACACACACACAUGACACAAUAACAUGAGAUGGACACACAUGACGCAAUGACACGCGUGAUACCACAGCAUGACAUGAGGACACACGUGACGCAAUGACAUGGGGACACGUGUGACACACGUGUGACACAAGGCCAUGGGAACAGACGUGGCACAGUGAUGGGGACACAUGACACAACAACAUGGGGACAUGUGACACGCGUGUGACACAACAACAUGGGGACAUGUGACACGCAUGUGACGCAACAACAUGACACACGGACACGUGACACAGCGACAGGAACACACAUAACACAAUGACAUGGGGACACGUGACAUGCGUGUGACACAACAACAUGACACACGGACACAUGUGACACAGUGACGGGGACACACGUGACACACUGACAGGGGACAUGUGACACACGUGUGACCCAAUGACAUGGGAAUACAUGAGAUGCUGAGACGUGAGGACAUCUGACACACGUGUGACACAAUAACAUGAGAUGGGGACACGUGACGCAAUGACACGCGUGACACCACAGCAUGACAUGGGGACACGUGUGACGCAAUGACAUGGGGACACGUGACAGACAUGUGACACAAGGCCAUGGGAACACACGUGGCACAGGGAUGGGGACACACGUGACACAAUGAUGUGGGAACACGUGACACGCGUGUGAUACGACAUGGGAACACACGUGGCACGGUGAUGGACACACACACAAUGAGGUGGGGACAUGUGACACGCAUGUGACACAACGACACAACACAUGGACAUGCGUGACAACAACAUGACAGGAGGACACGUGACACGGUGAUGGGGACACACGUGACACGUUGACAGAGGAACAUGUGACACACGUGUGACCCAAUGACAUGGGAACACACGUGACGCAGUGACAUGGGGACAUGUGACACACACGUGACACAACAACAUGACAUGGGGACACGCGACGCAAUGACAUGGGGACACGCAACACACAUGUGACACGACAUGGGAACACACGUGGCACAGGGAUGGGGACACACGUGAUACCACGACAUGGGGACACGUGACACACAUGUAACACAAUGACACAACACACGGACACACGUGACAAUGAGGUGGGAACACGUGACACGCGUGACACAACCACAUGACAUGCGAACACACGUGGCACAGAGAUGGGGACACACGUGACACAAUGACAUUCGGCCACGCAACACGCAUGUGACACAAUGACAUGACACGCUGACACACAACAUACCGACACACGUGUGACACAAUGCCGUGACGCGCGGACACACAACACGCAGACACACGUCUGACACACCAACAUGGCGGGAGAACACGUGUGACACAACCCCACGGGGACACGCGUGACACAGCAACGCGACACGGGGACACGCGUGACGUGGGGACACAGCACACACGUGGCACGACGACAUGGGGGAACACGGCAUGAGGACACGUGUGGGACACGUAUGACAUGAGGACACGCCACACACGUGACAAAGAUAUGACACGGAACAUACGUGACACACCAUGAUGCCGGGACACGCGUGACGCAAUGACGCGGGGACACACGUGUGCCACAGCAACACGGGACGUGGGGACACGGGGACAUACGACACGCAACACGGACACGUGGCACACGCGUGACACACAACACGUGUGACGCACAACACGCGUGACACGGCACAGAGAUAGGAUGGCACAGAGACACCGCUGCUGCCCCACAACUGCCUCAACCCCAUAAGUGCCUCCCUGCCCCAUAAGUGCCUCCCUGCCCCACAAGCGCCCCACAGCCCCACAACUGCUUCCCAGCCCCACAACUGCCUACCAGCCCUACAAGCGCCCCCCAGCCCCACAAGCACCGCCCUGCCCCACAGGUGCCUCCCUGCCCCACAAGCGCCCUCCAGCCCCACAAGCGCCUCCCUGCCCCACAAGUGACACCGUGCCCCACAAGCACCCCCCGGUGCUACAACUGCCUCCCAGCCCCACAAGUGCCUCCCAGCCCCACGAGCGCCUCCCUGCC
ensembl:lncRNA